GAACCUGCGGAAGGAUCAUUACCGAGUGAGGGCCCUCUGGGUCCAACCUCCCACCCGUGUUUAUUUUACCUUGUUGCUUCGGCGGGCCCGCCUUAACUGGCCGCCGGGGGGCUUACGCCCCCGGGCCCGCGCCCGCCGAAGACACCCUCGAACUCUGUCUGAAGAUUGUAGUCUGAGUGAAAAUAUAAAUUAUUUAAAACUUUCAACAACGGAUCUCUUGGUUCCGGCAUCGAUGAAGAACGCAGCGAAAUGCGAUACGUAAUGUGAAUUGCAAAUUCAGUGAAUCAUCGAGUCUUUGAACGCACAUUGCGCCCCCUGGUAUUCCGGGGGGCAUGCCUGUCCGAGCGUCAUUGCUGCCCUCAAGCACGGCUUGUGUGUUGGGCCCCGUCCUCCGAUCCCGGGGGACGGGCCCGAAAGGCAGCGGCGGCACCGCGUCCGGUCCUCGAGCGUAUGGGGCUUUGUCACCCGCUCUGUAGGCCCGGCCGGCGCUUGCCGAUCAACCCAAAUUUUUAUCCAGGUUGACCUCGGAUCAGGUAGGGAUACCCGCUGAACUUAAGCAUAUCAAUAAGGCG
rnacentral:rRNA from 1 species